UUCGCGUAUUCUGAACUUGUCGGUAGGAUGCUGACACGGAACAGGAAAGGCCCAGGGACUGGUCAUCUUCAGGAAGAAGAUUCGAUGAUUCAGGAUGAUUCAUCGGCAUGGAUCGCAAAGGGACACACGCCAAGACGGCGAUGUAAUGGAAUGAGCUGAAGGAUUCAGCAGACUAUCAGGGAAUAGAUGCAGGGAGCACCUUUAGUAGCCGGAUUGCUGCGAGCAGAACAGAAACCCCACCAGGCAUAGCUUGGUGGGGUUUUCUAUUU
rnacentral:misc_RNA from 1 species